rnacentral:rRNA from 1 species
CACGUAGGCACCAAGCGUUGUCCGGAUUUAUUGGGCGUAAAGGGCUCGUAGGCGGUUCGGUAAGUCGGGUGUGAAAACUCUGGGCUCAACCCAGAGCCGCCACCCGAUACUGCUGUGACUCGAGUGCGGUAGGGGAGCGGGGAAUUCCUGGUGUAGCGGUGAAAUGCGCAGAUAUCAGGAGGAACACCAGUGGCGAAGGCGGCGACCUGGACAGGCACUGACACUAAACUACGAAAGCGUGGGGAGCAAACAGG